UACGUAGGAGGCGAGCGUUGUCCGGAGUUACUGGGCGUAAAGGGUGCGCAGGCGGCGGUUCGCGUGGCGAGAUGAAAUCUCCUGGCUUACCUGGGAGGGUAGUCGCUAGACGGGAUCGCUUGAGGGUCGGAGAGGGGCGUGGAAUUCCGGGUGGAGCGGUGAAAUGCGUAGAGAUGCGGAGGAACACCGAUGGCGAAGGCAGCCCCCUGGGCUGACACUGACGCUCAGGCACGAAAGCGUGGGGAGCAAACAGG
rnacentral:rRNA from 1 species